GACGAACGCUGGCGGCGUGCUUAACACAUGCAAGUCGAACGGUGAAGCUCAAGCUUGCUUGGGUGGAUCAGUGGCGAACGGGUGAGUAACACGUGAGCAACCUGCCCCGGACUCUGGAAUAAGCGCUGGAAACGGCGUCUAAUACUGGAUAUGACACCAAUCCGCAUGGGUAUGGUGUGGAAAGUUUUUCGGUCUGGGAUGGGCUCGCGGCCUAUCAGCUUGUUGGUGAGGUACUGGAUCACCAAGGCGACGACGGGUAGCCGGCCUGAGAGGGCGACCGGCCACACUGGGACUGAGACACGGCCCAGACUCCUACGGGAGGCAGCAGUGGGGAAUAUUGCACAAUGGGCGAAAGCCUGAUGCAGCGACGCCGCGUGAGGGAUGACGGCCUUCGGGUUGUAAACCUCUUUCAGCAGGGAAGAAGCGAAAGUGACGGUACCUGCAGAAGAAGCACCGGCUAACUACGUGCCAGCCGCCGCGGUAACAC
rnacentral:rRNA from 1 species